UGGGGAAUAUUGCGCAAUGGACGAAAGUCUGACGCAGCAACGCCGCGUGAGGGAUGACGGCCUUCGGGUUGUAAACCUCUUUCAGCAGGGACGAAGCGAGAGUGACGGUACCUGCAGAAGAAGGACCGGCCAACUACGUGCCAGCAGCCGCGGUAAUACGUAGGGUCCGAGCGUUGUCCGGAAUUAUUGGGCGUAAAGGGCUCGUAGGCGGUUCGUCACGUCGGGAGUGAAAACUCGGGGCUUAACCCCGAGCCUGCUUCCGAUACGGGCAGACUAGAGGUAGGCAGGAGAGAGCGGAACUCCUGGUGUAGCGGUGGAAUGCGCAGAUAUCAGGAAGAACACCGGUGGCUAAGGCGGCUCUCUGGGCCUUACCUGACGCUGAGGAGCGAAAGCGUGGGUAGCGAACAGG
rnacentral:rRNA from 1 species